AUUUAGCUGACGAGUCCCAAGUAGGACGAAACGCGCGUCCUGGAU
rfam:Schistosoma haematobium scaffold259_26, whole genome shotgun sequence.